rnacentral:rRNA from 1 species
GACGUAGGGGGCCAGCGUUGUUCGGAAUUACUGGGUGUAAAGGGUGCGCAGGCGGUUUUGUAAGCCAGAUGUGAAAUCCCCGGGCUUAACCUGGGAAUGGCAUUUGGGACUGCAAGGCUCGAGUGCGGCAGAGGAGACUGGAAUUCCUGGUGUAGCAGUGAAAUGCGUAGAUAUCAGGAGGAACACCGAUGGCGAAGGCAGGUCUCUGGGCUGACACUGACGCUCAUGCACGAAAGCGUGGGGAGCAAACAGG